AUGAUAGAGGUACUGAAACCUGACUGUCAGAAACUGCUACACCAGCUGAAUGCCUUGUUGGAACUGAAGUCUAGAUGUCAGUUAAAGAUCUGUGGUUUGAGACUAAUUGAGUUUGCACAUGAUAGACAAUAGCCUCAGAAUGACUGCAAGGCUACAGGACUUUGAAGUACAAGAUGUUAGUCUAAUUCAGUUCUUUGGCUUUAACACAAAGGCAUUUUCUCUGUGAAUUUACUGGACAGAUUCCUGUGUUAAAUGAAGGUGCAGCCCAAGCACCUUGGAUGUGUUGAACUGAGCUUCUUCUAUUCGGCUGUAAAAUCAAUAGAAGAGGAAAGGGAUGUCCCAUUGGCAACUGAUGUGUUCCAAAUAGGUGAAUAUAGGUUCACGGUUUCAGACUUGAUGAGAAUGGAAAAGAUUGCAUUGGAGAAGUUGUAAUGUAAAGUGAAAGCUACUACUGCCUUUCAAUUUCUACAACUCCACUAUUCACUCAUUCAAGGGAACUUGCCAUUUGAAAGGAGAAGUGGCCUCAAUUUUGACUGGAAGCCCAAUUUAAGGCAUGUCAAGAUCAAAUGCUCUAAACUUUGGAGUCUAAAUCAAAGCCUUCUAUGUUGAUAUUGUCUAUAAUCAUAUUGGAGAUCCAAAAACAGAAGUGUAUACAGUUAAUAAAAUGAGUAGAAUGUCUUCAGAAACAUUCCAAGAUAAAUGGUAGAGAUGUGACCUUCUGGAAAGAGUUUGUAUCCAAGUGUUUAACUGAAUACUCAUCAAACAAAUGUUCCAAAUCAAACAUUCAGAAGUUGAAAUGGAUUGUUUCUGGGCAUACUGCAUUGCAACUAAAGCAUAGUUACUGAAGAAAAAUUCACCAUCCAACAAUUCCUGAAAUGGUUCCCU
rnacentral:lncRNA from 1 species